GGAGGCGCAUCGGCUCUGGUGAGUCGCGCGGUCUUCAAAACCGUUGAGUCCGCUCGACGCGGAUUGGUAGGUUCGAUUCCUAUGCGCUUCCGCCA
rnacentral:tRNA from 1 species